AUCCCAGACAAAACUGAAAAAAUGGUGUUUGUCUGAUUCAUGGGAGGCUAAAAUGAAAGAUAUCAAUGGAAAGUUUCGCUGAUAAACACCUUGUUGUUUGUUAUUAUUAGAGGUGUUUUACUAGUAGCUUUCCACACAUUU